UGAAAUGUAUACUUAGAACAAUCGAAAUCUUAAAUUUUGUAGGAGUCCUUAGUAAAUAAUUAAGUAUUCUCAAGAUAAAUAACCUCAUUUUUAUACGUUAUUUAAUUGAACAAUACUUGCUGAAGCUUCAUUCUUGUAGCCAUUGAGGUUAGAGUAAUGAAAACGAUAUUUUCGAUAUUUAUUGAGCUCAAGUUUUCAAUUACCAAGUACUUUUCCUGCAUAAUAGUUUUACUCUUCGAACAGCUUAAAAAGAUCUCCAAAUGUUAAAAUCGCAUUUGCUACUAAAAGUG